rnacentral:lncRNA from 1 species
UGACUAUUGAAAUUUUGAACUAUCUUAUACGUAAUUUGUGAAUUGAUGGUCAAGGCCACAAGCAACAAGAUUGCUUGAAUUAUGUAGAUAAAUCUAUAAUGCUUGAGAAGUUGUCUUAGCUAAACUUACAUGAAAGAAAUUAACUACCACCAAGCCUUUUCAAAUUCAAAUUAUUGGAUUUUGAUGAUGAGGUGUGAUCUUAAUGACAAGGCCGGGGUAGACAUCAUCUGGAUCAUGAAUAUGGGGAUUUUUCUCCACUAUAUAAGGGUCACUACACUUGUGACUUAUGCUGUAAAGUGUUUCUCCCUCUCCGACAACAUAGAUUUCUUCGCAGACAUGGUUGAACAGCAACUGCUUCCCUCUCACUGAAUCAUCAUCUAACUCCCAAGACGAAGAAAUCGAAAAAAAGAGCAAGAUUACAACAAUGGAUAUUGACGUCGAAACAGCCAUC